UAGCUCAGUGGUAGAGUACUUGCUUUGCAUGCAUGAGGCCCUAGGUUCGAUUCCUCAG
rnacentral:tRNA from 1 species